GGUGCGUUGCAGGUGCACGAGGGAGUCGUGGGAGCUUUCGUCAGAGCUCUCUGGCUCGUCUGGAACUGGCGCCCAGUGGAAUAUCGGGGACGGCUGGAGGAGGACGUAGUCCGUGUCUGGGGCUCGGCUGAUGCUCAGGGAUCGCGGACGAUCUGCUCCUGGAACAGAAUUAUUGGCGAUGGUUUUGGAAAGUGCUGAAACGAAAUCAACAGCGACGGGAUUUUUGAAACUGUUUAAGUUGAUUUAGCAAUGUGUGCCGUACUCGAUGUCGAUGUCAGGGCUUUGGUCAGACUUCGGUGGUUCUUCAACAAUAACCAGAGGCAGUGUAAGCGGAAGAGAAGUGGGCUCACCUGCUAGUGAGUCUGGCUGGAUGGCAGACGGUGAGGGAACGUCUAAAACAUCCUCGCAUGCCUCUUCAUUCAGCGUUUGCAGAGCUCCGCAGAUCAUCUGCUCUUCCAAUGUUACCUAGCAGAAUACAUUCGUUCAACUCUUGUACUAUUUUUUUUUUCAUGAAUAUAAUCAUUAUCUGAACAAUAAUGACAGUGACAAUAAUUUCAUCUUGAGGAAAUUAGGUUUUGAAUGUUUUCUGGUGGAUUUAGAGAGAAUAAACAAAUUCGACACUUCCUAAUGAAACAAGGGUAUCUCAGAAUUCCCUACAAACUCAUCUAUCUCAAUUUUCCGGGGAAAACUCAUGUAACUCAGACGAAAUAAAAAAAUACUUAUCUCAGUAACUCUGAUUAAA